UCGCAGCGCGCGCACGCGGAGCUUGUUCCCAGAGUUGGUGCGAGGAAAGUCCCCAUGCCUUGGUGCAGAGAGUGCGAGUGGGAGAACCAC
rnacentral:RNase_MRP_RNA from 14 species